AGGAGAGACGCCCGGUCCCAUUCCGAACCCGGAAGCUAAGGCCUGGCACGGCGAUGGUACUGCACCCGACAGGGUGUGGGAGAGUAGCACGCCGCCGCAC
rnacentral:rRNA from 1 species